UUGAUACAGAACGAACAUCUGACGGCGUGCCUAAUACAUGCAAGUCGAGCGGAUUUUCAUUAGCUUGCUUUUGAAGAUCAGCGGCGGACGGGUGAGUAACACGUGGGCAACCUGCCUGUAAGACUGGGAUAACUUCGGGAAACCGGAGCUAAUACCGGAUAAUCCUUUCCCUCACAUGAGGGAAAGCUGAAAGACGGUUUCGGCUGUCACUUACAGAUGGGCCCGCGGCGCAUUAGCUAGUUGGUGAGGUAACGGCUCACCAAGGCAACGAUGCGUAGCCGACCUGAGAGGGUGAUCGGCCACACUGGGACUGAGACACGGCCCAGACUCCUACGGGAGGCAGCAGUAGGGAAUCUUCCGCAAUGGACGAAAGUCUGACGGAGCAACGCCGCGUGAGCGAUGAAGGCCUUCGGGUCGUAAAGCUCUGUUGUCAGGGAAGAACAAGUACCGGAGUAACUGCCGGUACCUUGACGGUACCUGACCAGAAAGCCACGGCUAACUACGUGCCAGCAGCCGCGGUAAUACGUAGGUGGCAAGCGUUGUCCGGAAUUAUUGGGCGUAAAGCGCGCGCAGGCGGUUCCUUAAGUCUGAUGUGAAAGCCCCCGGCUCAACCGGGGAGGGUCAUUGGAAACUGGGGAACUUGAGUGCAGAAGAGGAGAGCGGAAUUCCACGUGUAGCGGUGAAAUGCGUAGAGAUGUGGAGGAACACCAGUGGCGAAGGCGGCUCUCUGGUCUGUAACUGACGCUGAGGCGCGAAAGCGUGGGGAGCGAACAGGAUUAGAUACCCUGGUAGUCCACGCCGUAAACGAUGAGUGCUAAGUGUUAGAGGGUUUCCGCCCUUUAGUGCUGCAGCAAACGCAUUAAGCACUACC
rnacentral:rRNA from 2 species